rnacentral:lncRNA from 1 species
ACACAUCAAUCUGUGGACCGACUCAGAAUUAUACGAUUGGUAAGAAUCAUCAUACGAUUUGUCUCAUAACUUUUUUGUGAUGAGAGUAACAUGUGUCGAGGUGUUUAUGUUGAAGGCAGUGAUGUAAAUAUACGCUUAUUUUUUGAUUCGACCCACAGCAGAAAACAAAGCCGUAUUAAAGACUAUUCGUGAACGACCUGAUGAAAUCUGGACGAGUGGUGAUGGUCGACCAUAGCUUCAAGAUGCCAUGGAACCUCACAGUAGGCUCUCAAGAGUAUAUCAGGAAUAAGAUUAAGAGGAAUCAGCUCUAUAAACUUCUCAUUACUCUCCUCCUUUUUAGAUUGUAUUAUUUUCUCCCCAUCUUCCGCUUCUUCUUCUGUUCUCUCCAUCAACGAUCAACAUUUUAAAAGUUUGAAUAUACCUAAUUUGUUGUCCACAUCUCUGUUUGAUCAUUUUUUGUAAGCUCUAAUUUGGGGGAGAACUGUAUUAUACAAUUAAUGGUACAGCAUAAAUUGUG